CGUCGCUCUUCUCAUCCGAUACCGAACUUAAUUCGCCGGUCAUGGUGUCUCCAUUCACGGUUGAUGGCGCAUACAUAUCCGCUGUUUGUGAUUUGUUUAUUCCUGCGCAAAGAUAGAAACGUAUAUUAUGAAAUACGACGAAGCAAACCGGAUCAAAAUUCAUUGUACGUAAAUUAACUUACGAGAUUUAUUUCGCUUUCUCAUAAUGUACCACAAUACGAUGAUGAAGAUAUUAAUGAUAAAAAAGAUGAGGGAGGUUGCUGCAAACGUAUAGAUAUAAUUCAUUGUAAAAUCCCCCUUUUCCAAGAGAACGUCCGGCAGGUUCUCAGCGUUAUUCGGCCCUGCAGGAUAAAAGCAGAAAAAAGACGAUAUAGGGCUGAUUGAUUAUAUUUACCGGAACGUUGGGCCUUCUUUUUCGAUUUUAAUGUAGCAAAGACUAUGGGCGCAGCAAUGAGUAGGCAAACAGAGGCGGAAACAGUGAUGAUAAUGACGAUGAUGUAGGAAGAAUUAAUCUCGCUGGAUGUCACGUCGGUAGGUGGUGCCUCCCCUGUAAGCCAAGCCAACGCCCCAUCACCGAAUUGUUAUUCAUGCAACGAUAACAGUCCACAAUGGUUAGUUACAAUUUUAGCGAUUCGGAUCGAUCUAUUAUUAAACUAUUGCCGCCGUGUCCGCGGUGUUUAAUUAGCACGCCUAAGUCCAUCAGCAAUGAUAAUUCUUCAUUCGAGACUUCAUCGUUACAGGCAUAACGACUAUUAAUCAAUUUACGUCACGGAAUGCCAAUCGGUUAAAUACUGGUAAUUAUGAUGAUCGAUAUUUCUCAUUAGAUGCGAUGUGAAUAAAUGCUACUUUACUCGUUGUAUUGUAUAUUCGAUGCGAUUAAGCUUUAGGUAUUUCGUGCAUCGAUUCUUUCUUUUCUUCUUUGUUUCAGCAAAAAAAAAAAAAAAAA